CCGAUUCUUUGGUUGGAAACUUCCUUUUAUGAUCAACACUAGAUUUUGUAAAGUAACAAAAGUUGUUUGAACUUCUUUCCACAUUUCUUCAAAUGAUUUCACAAUAUACACAGAUAAUACACUAUGACUAUCAGACUAUAUAUUAAAUAUAUUAAAGACCACGAGGAUGAAAGACUUUUAUAUACUGUUAUAAAACACUAUAAAAUAUUAAAAUUUGUUAUUUUGUUCCUGCAGCACUAGUACCACUCUCCAAUUAUAACACGCGUCCACACCAUUAAUAUGGGAUGCAAAUGGAUGCCACAUCGUGGGCUGUAUAAAUAAAACCAUAGAUAUAAAACCUAAAAUACAAGAUAAACAUAUAAUUGAGCUAAUUUAUAAACGUAAAACUGCUCCUGAAUAAAAAGGAACAAAAAUAUAACGAUAAAAGCUUUGAAGUGGUGUUUUUUACGCUGUAUUAGUUAGAUGGUCGCAACGGUGGUUAUAUAUACCAUUUUCCGGUAGCAAAACAUACCACUUUGUCUGCCGCCGCCAUGUUUACUCGCCCCAAUCUACAUACUACACGGCAUUGCCGCCCCUCCUGGCAAGAUAAUAAGCAAGCGAGAAAAAUUAAGGAGAAAAUAAGAGGGUAGGAACAUUGUGGGCGUUUCGUGGGCGUGUCAUCGUUCUGGGCGAAUCAGCUUUCUCAAUCUUGUAUCACAUGACUAAUUCAAAUCGUCAUAGGCGGGAAGCAGCAUUACACGUCAUCCCUACGUCAAAUAAAACGUUAUAAAACGCGUCGUGGAUACGUUUGUGCCAUAUAUGGAAGUUAUGGAUACGUUUGUGCCAUAUAUGGAAGUGUCACUGCAUCCAGCUUAUGACAACGAUGUUCCUACCCUCUUAUUUUCUUCUAAUUUUUUUCGCUUGCUUAUUAUUUUGCCAGGAGGGGCGGCAAUGCCGUGCAGCAUGUAGAUUGGGACGAGUAAACAUGGCGAUGGCAGACGAAACAGAUAUGGAAUUUGU